rnacentral:rRNA from 1 species
UACGUAGGGGGCAAGCGUUUGUCCGGAUUUAUUGGGCGUAAAGAGCGUGUAGGCGGUUUGGUAGGUCCGUUGUGAAAACUCGAGGCUCAACCUCGAGACGCCGAUGGAAACCAUCAGACUAGAGUCCGGAAGAGGAGAGUGGAAUUCCUGGUGUAGCGGUGAAAUGCGCAGAUAUCAGGAGGAACACCGGUGGCGAAGGCGGUUCUCUGGGCAUGUCCUGACGCUGAGACGCGAAAGCGUGGGGAGCAAACAGG